rnacentral:rRNA from 1 species
AUUGAACGCUGGCGGCAUGCCUUACACAUGCAAGUCGAACGGCAGCACGGGGGCGAACCCUCGGUGGCGAGUGGCGAACGGGUGAGUAAUGCAUCGGAACGUGCCCAGUAGUGGGGGAGUAACUAGUCGAAAGAUUAGCUAAUACCGCAUACGACCUAUGGGUGGAAAGCGGGGGAGUUCGCAAGAACCUCGCGCUAUCGGAGCGGCCGAUGUCUGAUUAGCUAGUUGGCGGGGUAAAGGGACCCACCCAAGGCUUCGAUCAGUAGCUGGUCUGAGAGGACGACCAGCCACACUGGGAC